CCUACGGGGCGCAGCAGUGAGGAAUAUUGGUCAAUGGACGAGAGUCUGAACCAGCCAAGUAGCGUGAAGGAUGACUGCCCUAUGGGUUGUAAACUUCUUUUAUAUGGGAAUAAAAUGUUCCACGUGUGGGAUUUUGUAUGUACCAUAUGAAUAAGGAUCGGCUAACUCCGUGCCAGCAGCCGCGGUAAUACGGAGGAUCCGAGCGUUAUCCGGAUUUAUUGGGUUUAAAGGGAGCGUAGGUGGAUUGUUAAGUCAGUUGUGAAAGUUUGCGGCUCAACCGUAAAAUUGCAGUUGAAACUGGCAGUCUUGAGUACAGUAGAGGUGGGCGGAAUGCGUGGUGUAGCGGUGAAAUGCUUAGAUAUCACGAAGAACUCCGAUUGCGAAGGCAGUUCACUGGACUGCAACUGACACUGAGGCUCGAAAGUGUGGGUAUCAAACAGGAUUAGAUACCCGUGUAGUC
rnacentral:rRNA from 1 species